GAGUUUGAUCCUGGCUCAGGACGAACGCUGCGGCGUGCUUAAUACAUGCAAGUUGAACGAGAAAGUUCUCUUCGGAGGAUGAGUAAAGUAGCAAACGGGUGAGUAAUACGUAGGUAAUCUACCUCAUAGACGGGGAUAACGUUGGGAAACUGGCGCUAAGACCUGAUACGCAGCAAUGUAAAAUACAGCAUUAAAGAAUGCAGUAGCUAUGAGAUGAGCUUGCGCCCCAUUAGCUAGUUGGUAAGGUAAAGGCUUACCAAGGCUAUGAUGGGUAGGGGUCCUGAGAGGGAGAUCCCCCACACCGGGACUGAGAUACGGCCCAGACUUCUACGGGAGGCAGCAGUAGGGAAUAUUGCACAAUGGAGGAAACUCUGAUGCAGCAACCCCGCGUGAGCGAUGAAGGAUUUAGGUUUGUAAAGCUCUGUUGAGAAGGAAGAUAGUUUCUAAGUUAAUAGCUUGGGAAGUAGACGGUACUUUUCGAGGAAGCUCCGGCUAAUUACGUGCCAGCAGCCGCGGUAAUACGUAAGGAGCAAGCGUUGUCCGGAAUCAUUGGGCGUAAAGGGUGCGCAGGCGGUAUUGAAGGUCAGUUGUGAAAGCUUGGUGCUCAACACCAAGAGUGCAAUUGAAACCGCAGUACUAGAGGGUAGAAGAGGAAAGUGGAAUUCCGUAUGUAGCGGUGAAAUGCUUAGAUAUACGGAAGAACACCAAUGGCGAAGGCAGCUUUCUGGUCUACUACUGACGCUGAGGCACGAAAGCGUGGGGAGCGAACGGGAUUAGAUACCCCGGUAGUCCACGCCGUAAACGAUGAAUACUAGGUGUCGGCAGGUAAUAAACUGUCGGUGCCGUAGCUAACGCAUUAAGUAUUCCGCCUGGGGAGUACGAUCGCAAGAUUAAAACUCAAAGGAAUUGACGGGGGCCCGCACAAGCGGUGGAUUAUGUGGUUUAAUUCGAUGCAACGCGAAGAACCUUACCUGGUCUUGACAUUUGCCGACCGCCUAAGAGAUUAGGUUUUCCAGCAAUGGACGGUAGGACAGGUGCUGCAUGGCUGUCGUCAGCUCGUGUCGUGAGAUGUUGGGUCAAGUCCCGCAACGAGCGCAACCCCUGUUGUUAGUUACUAGCGCGUAAUCGCGAGCACUCUAACGAGACUGCCGGUGACAAACCGGAGGAAGGUGGGGAUGACGUCAAGUCCUCAUGGCCCUUAUGACCAGGGCUACACACGUAAUACAAUGGCACGUACAAAGAGCAGCGAAACCGCGAGGUCAAGCGAAUCUCAAAAACGUGUCACAGUUCGGAUUGUAGUCUGCAACUCGACUACAUGAAGUCGGAAUCGCUAGUAAUCGUAGAUCAGCAUGCUACGGUGAAUACGUUCUCGGGCCUUGUACACACCGCCCGUCACACCACCCGAGUUGAAUGCACCCGAAGUCGCUGAUGCCAACCUGAAUGGGAGGCAGGUGCCGAAGGUGUGUUGAGUAAGGGGGGUGAAGC
rnacentral:rRNA from 1 species